GACGUAGGGCGCAAGCGUUGUUCGGAUUCAUUGGGCGUAAAGGGUGCGUAGGCGGCGCGGAAAGUUGGGUGUGAAAUACCUCGGCUCAACCGAGGAACUGCGCCCAAAACUACCGUGCUCGAGGGAGAUAGAGGUGAGCGGAACUUACGGUGGAGCGGUGAAAUGCGUUGAUAUCGUAAGGAACACCCGUGGCGAAAGCGGCUCACUGGGUCUUCUCUGACGCUGAUGCACAAAAGCUAGGGGAGCAAACAGG
rnacentral:rRNA from 1 species